rnacentral:rRNA from 1 species
GAUGAACGCUAGCGGCAGGCCUAAUACAUGCAAGUCGGACGGGAUCUAGAUCUAAGCUUGCUUAGAUUUAGUGAGAGUGGCGCACGGGUGCGUAACGCGUGAGCAACCUACCCAUAUCAGGGGGAUAGCCCGGAGAAAUCCGGAUUAAGACCGCAUAACGCAACGACUCGGCAUCGAGAUGUUGUUAAAUAUUUAUAGGAUAUGGAUGGGCUCGCGUGACAUUAGCUAGUUGGUAAGGUAACGGCUUACCAAGGCUACGAUGUCUAGGGGCUCUGAGAGGAGAAUCCCCCACACUGGUACUGAGACACGGACCAGACUCCUACGGGAGGCAGCAGUAAGGAAUAUUGGUCAAUGGAGGGAACUCUGAACCAGCCAUGCCGCGUGCAGGAUGACUGCCCUAUGGGUUGUAAACUGCUUUUGUCCAGGAAUAACCACCACUACGUGUAGUGGCUUGAAUGUACUGGAAGAAUAAGGAUCGGCUAACUCCGUGCCAGCAGCCGCGGUAAUACGGAGGAUCCGAGCGUUAUCCGGAUUUAUUGGGUUUAAAGGGUGCGUAGGCGGCUCAUUAAGUCAGGGGUGAAAGACGGCAGCUCAACUGUCGCAGUGCCUUUGAUACUGAUGAGCUUGAAUGUGGUUGAAGAUGGCGGAAUGAGACAAGUAGCGGUGAAAUGCAUAGAUAUGUCUCAGAACUCCGAUUGCGAAGGCAGCUGUCUAAGUCAUUAUUGACGCUGAUGCACGAAAGCGUGGGGAUCGAACAGGAUUAGAUACCCUGGUAGUCCACGCCCUAAACGAUGAUAACUCGAUGUUGGCGAUACACAGUCAGCGUCUUAGCGAAAGCGUUAAGUUAUCCACCUGGGGAGUACGCCCGCAAGGGUGAAACUCAAAGGAAUUGACGGGGGCCCGCACAAGCGGAGGAGCAUGUGGUUUAAUUCGAUGAUACGCGAGGAACCUUACCCGGGCUUGAAAGUUACCGAAUUAUCUAGAGAUAGAUAAGUCCUUCGGGACAGGAAACUAGGUGCUGCAUGGCUGUCGUCAGCUCGUGCCGUGAGGUGUUGGGUUAAGUCCCGCAACGAGCGCAACCCCUAUGUUUAGUUGCCAGCAUGUAAUGAUGGGGACUCUAAACAGACUGCCAGCGUAAGCUGUGAGGAAGGUGGGGACGACGUCAAGUCAUCAUGGCCCUUACGUCCGGGGCUACACACGUGCUACAAUGGAUGGUACAGCGGGCAGCUACCUGGUAACAGGAUGCUAAUCUCGAAAAGCCAUUCACAGUUCGGAUUGAGGUCUGCAACUCGACCUCAUGAAGUUGGAUUCGCUAGUAAUCGCGUAUCAGCAAUGACGCGGUGAAUACGUUCCCGGGCCU